UUCAGUAGUUAGUUAUUUGCUGCCAAGCAAUCAUGGAAACAUCUACAAAAUUUAACAUGUCAACAGUUUUGAGAGCUAGAAGGACCUUAUUCAAGUUGUCAGAUUCAUCCGUAAGAACUGGUCAACUAGAAUAUUUACCUCCUUAGUGCAGCACUAAUUGCUACUUGAUGUUGAAACCAUUCAAAUAAUUAAAAUUUGAGGGGUUCGCUUAUCUUCUUGCAGU
rnacentral:lncRNA from 1 species